rnacentral:rRNA from 1 species
GUGCCAGCCGCCGCGGUAAUACGUAGGGGUCGAGCGUUGUCCGGAGUUACUGGGCGUAAAGCGCGUGCAGGUGGCUCAUUACGCCCGGCGUGAAAGCCCCCGGCUCAACCGGGGAGGGUCGUCGGGGACGGGUGAGCUUGAGGGUAGCAGGGGCUGGUAGAAUUCCCGGUGUAGUGGUGAAAUGCGUAGAGAUCGGGAGGAAUACCCGUGGCGAAGGCGGCCAGCUGGGCUACACCUGACACUGAGACGCGAAGGCGUGGGGAGCGAACGGGAUUAGAAACCCCUGUAGUCC